rnacentral:rRNA from 1 species
AAGGGUAAUAUCUUUGAGUAUUGACGUUACCCACAGAAGAAGCACUGGCUAACUCUGUGCCAGCAGCCGCGGUAAUACAGAGAGUGCAAGUGUUAAUCGGAAUCAUUGGGCGUAAAGCGCGCGUAGGUGGAUGUUUAAGUCGAAUGUGAAAUCCCUGGGCUUAACCUAGGAAUUGCAUCCGAUACUGUAUAUCUUGAGUAUGGUAGAGGGAAGUGGAAUUUCCGGUGUAGCGGUGAAAUGCGUAGAUAUCGGAAAGAACACCAGUGGCGAAGGCGGCUUCCUGGAUCAAUACUGACACUGAGGCGCGAAAGCGUGGGGAGCAAACAGGAUUAGAGACCCUGGUAGUCCACGCCGUCAACGAUGAGAACUAGCUGUUGGAAAGUUUACUUUCUAGUAGCGAAGCUAACGCGUUAAGUUCUCCGCCUGGGAAGUACGGCCGCAAGGUUAAAACUCAAAGAAAUUGACGGGGGCCCGCACAAGCGGUGGAGCAUGUGG